rnacentral:lncRNA from 1 species
CUGAAAAUGACAACAGAAAUGAGAAAUUACAGAACAAUAACUGUAGUGUAGGGCACCACACCACCACGAUAAAAAUAUUACCUCUAGAGCACUAUCGUCCAAGGUUAAAUAAACAAGAAUACAGAAGUUUGCCCUGAUAGUACAUACAUAGAGAAAAUUCCUUGUGUACACCUCAAAACUCUCUCAAUCCCUUAUAUGCACCUAAAAAAUACCGAAUCCCUUGUGUGCCCUCGAAAAUUUGUUUAGAACCCUUGCGUACCCCUCCCGUCAAGUCUCUGUCAGUUUAGAUGUUAAUUUGCUUAGAAAUGUCCAUUAUGCCCUUUGAGAAUGGAGGGCAUGCAUGGAAUUUGAUUAUAGUUGGCUGAUUAGAGAGCUUGCUAUAUAUUAAAUAAUUUUUUUGUAUGAUGUGUGCUAUCAUAAAUAAUUAGUGGAUAUAAAAUUUAAAAUAUUUUUUUAAAAAAAUAGUACAUUGCAAUUUUAAAAAUAAAUAUGUGGCUAUAACUAGCUGAAAAUACUAAGAUUAGCUGAAAAUACUAAAUCUAGUAUUUUCAGCUAAUCUUAGUAUUUUCAGCUAGUUAUAGCCACAUAUUUAUUUUUAAAAUUGCAAUGUACUAAUCUUAGUAUUUUCAGCUAGCUAUAUCCACUUAUUUAUUUUCAAAAUUGCAGUGUACUAACUUUUCUCAAAAUUUAUUUUAAAUUUUCUAUCAACUGAUUAUUUAGUAUCAUAAAGCACACAUCAUGAAAAAAAAUAUUCAACAUAUAGGGAGCUCUUUAAUCAGCCAACUAUGAUCAAAUUUCAUAUCCACCAUUCUCAAAGGGCAUAAUGGACAUUUCUAAGAAAAUUAACAUCUAAACUGACAGAAACUUGACGGGAGGGGUACGCAAGGGUUCCAAACAAAUUUUCGAGGGCACACAAGGGAUUCGGUAUUUUUCAGGUGCAUAGAAGGGAUUGAGAGAGUUCUGAGGUGUACACAAGGAAUUUUCUCUACAUAGAAAGUGAAUGAAAGAACUAAAAAACAAAAAAAAGGAGCAUUAUCUACCAAAAAGUGUCAAAACAGACCAUGACAUUUCCUACUUGACUUUAAUUACCAUGCUUUCAAUCUUAUUCAUUUGCAUCACUACUUGAUUAAAUAGGACCUUAAGUGGAGGGUCACAAGUCAAGAAAAAUCUUUUGUUCCUAAGUAAUUUUUUUCUCUGGUUUUUCAGCAUUGAUUCAUAGAAAAAUGUGUAUUAGUUAGCAUGUCAUGUAUGCUCCAGACACUAUUAUUUGAAAAAAAAAUCAUUCAAUAUUAAAAAAAAGAAAAAGCUGACCCAGGGUACUCAGAAACUUAUUAGUUUUGGCCCAUGUUUUUUAUAUACAAGUACAUAAUAAUUCUGGAUUUUCACAGGAGCUAAUGCUAUGUCGCAUGGAGUAUACACAGCAUGCAGUACCCCAUCCCCCAGGCAACCAUACUAGAUCAGUAUACCAUUUCCAUAGGUGUUAUAUGUUUCAAGACCUAUCUCGUGACACAAACUUAAACCUGCAAACGUGCUAUUCAAUAUUAAUAUCAUCCUUGAACAGAAGGUCAGCUGAUGUCUGCUUCUGCCUGAGACACACAAUAUCCUGAAAGAUGAGUUCAAGUAUACUAGUAUGAAAUAACACACAAAAACUCUUUGAAGUCCCUUAAGGUCAUGAUUUCUGAAGAUCAUCACAUUAGAAGUGCAAAUUUGCACAAUUACAUUGCUCAAACAGGAAGACAUGUAAGAUGGGGAUGCACACUUGUGAAACAUGAGAAGAGGCUUCCAGCUAAAUGCUUAUUCAUCGGACCAAACUAGACAUUGAGAUGAUUAUCAAGGGAGGGUAAGUCCGUAAGUACAAGAAACAAUAAUAUGUUUUUGGAAGGAAGACACUGUAAUUUUAAUCUAAUAUGAUAAAUGGUACCCAAAAAAAAAAA